ensembl:lncRNA
GUGACGGGCCGUCACAGGACAGCCUCCCCUGCCGAGGCUUCGGUCCUAGACGUUUCAGUCUGAGGUCGCGGCUGCAGGACAGGGGAGCUCAGAGGAGAGCUGGUUUCCUGAGACAGGCAGACGGGGCAGCGGCCACGUGCGGUGGACACCGCGCUGGAGUGCGGCGCCCGCCCGCUCAGCAGGAAGUUCUAGCUUUGGUUCCGAGGAAUCGGAUUUCUCAUUUUGAUUCACCCUGCUGGCUCAGUCAUCUGAACUCCAUUUAAUCACUUUCCAAAAAUCAAAUUGUCGUCAAGCCUUGAAGAGAGCGGUCUUUUGGAAUCAGAGCCUGAUUUGGAGCCUGCCUCUGUGACUUCCUAGCUGUGUCACUUCAUGCGGGGUUCUUAACCUCUCUGAGCCUCAGUCCCCCCUGGAGUUUCCAUGAGGAUGAAAUGCAGUUUUAGACGGGAGCAGACUGGAGAAGGUCAGCGGUGCAAGCACACUUUGCCGAAAGGGGAAGAUGUGUGACCCCUGAAAAGGCGGAGGACUGGAUGGACACCCUGUCUGAACAGGAAGCCGGAAUCCAGGCCCUUUCUUGUUGAAGAGCAUCUGGUCUACACGGAAGAGACUGUGAUCCCUCUGCCAAACGCCUGAGCCGGUGACUGUUGCUACCUCAGGGGUCAGCUUGUUUGACUGUGGUGGUUAUCAUCUGUCUCUAGCCGGCAUCACUCUCUGACCACUCUUGUGCACUUGUCCUUCCGCCCGGCCGAACUUCACUCCUAGGAUGUUUCUGCCGUGCUCCUCCCUGGGGUGCUGACUGAGGUGCUGCCUGCUGCUGCUGGGACGGCUCGACCAUGACUUUCUGGGCCGUCGCCUCCCUGGGGCUCAAGGAAACCCUUCCAGGUAUCCCUAGGUCCUGCCCUGUCCGUUGCCACUGGCAUCUCCUCCUGACUGUUCUCUUUCAUUAACCCUCUCCUUUUUAGGACUUGUUUAUUCUUUGUUUAUCUGGCUGGUGCCAGGCAGGUGUUAGCUGCGGUGCUCAGGACCCUUGUGCUCUGUGGUCGUUGCAGUGUGGUAGCUCGGUUGCCGGAUGCAGGCUCUAGUUCCCCAGCCAGGGAUCCAACCCAGGCCCCUGCACUGGGAGCUUUGAGUCUUAGCCACUGGACCACCAGGGAAGCCCCCCAUCAAUGCUGCUUCUUUUUUAAAAUAAUCUUUUAAAUUUACUUAUUUAUUCGUUUUUGUUGUUCUGAGUCUUUGUUGCUGCUC